AUUGACCGCUGGCGGCAGGCCUAACACAUGCAAGUCGAACGAGUGGCGGACGGGUGAGUAAUGUCUGGGAAACUGCCUGAUGGAGGGGGAUAACUACUGGAAAAGGUAGCUAAUACCGCAUACCAUCAGAUGUGCCCAGAUGGGAUUAGCUUGUUGGUGGGGUAACGGCUCACCAAGGCGACGAUCCCUAGCGGGUCGGAGAGGAUGACCGGCCACACUGGAACUGGACAAGGGUCCAGACUCCUACGGGAGGCAGCAGUGGGGAAUAUUGCACAAGGGGCGCAAGCCUGAUGCAGCCAUGCCGGGUGUAUGAAGAAGGCCUUCGGGUUGUAAAGUACUUUCAGCGGGGAGACGUACCCGCAGAAGAAGCACCGGCUAACUCCGUGCCAGCAGCCGCGGUAAUUC
rnacentral:rRNA from 1 species